AUUGAACGCUGGCGGCAUGCCUUACACAUGCAAGUCGAACGGCAGCACGGGUGCUUGCACCUGGUGGCGAGUGGCGAACGGGUGAGUAAUACAUCGGAACAUGUCCUGUAGUGGGGGAUAGCCCGGCGAAAGCCGGAUUAAUACCGCAUACGAUCUACGGAUGAAAGCGGGGGACCUUCGGGCCUCGCGCUAUAGGGUUGGCCGAUGGCUGAUUAGCUAGUUGGUGGGGUAAAGGCCUACCAAGGCGACGAUCAGUAGCUGGUCUGAGAGGACGACCAGCCACACGGGGAUGGAAAAACGGCCCAGACUCCUAGGGGAGGCAGAAGUGGGGAAUUUGGGAAAAGGGGCGAAAGCCUGACCCAACAAUGCCGGGGGUGGGAAGAAGGCCUUCGGGUUGUAAAGAACUUUUGUCCGGAAAAAAAUCCUUGGCCCUAAAACGGGGGGGGGAUGAGGGUACCGGAAAAAAAAACACCGGAUAACUACGU
rnacentral:rRNA from 1 species